rnacentral:piRNA from 1 species
UGGUGGUCAGAGAAUAAAGAGAGACAAGC